ACAGAAAAAGAACUUUGAAAACAAUGAAAAUAAAAAAGUUAUCCAACCUGACAUUGAAAGCCUGUCAUAACUCCUUCCAUUUAGAAAGCUCCAUUUCUAAUUUGACGGGUCCCAUUGCAACAGAGUACAGUCCUCUUCCCUUUGAUUCUUGCAUAUACACUCUCUCCGUUGAAAAGCCAUCACCUCAAAUCAGUCUGGCUCCUGCUCCCAUUGAAUCUCCCGUCCAUUCGACAUUUCAACGAAGAACGAAAUUGCCCCUUCCAUGUACAUUUCCAUUCCUCUUUUUAAACUUUCUGUUGCAAUACUGUGCACCAAUCUGUUGGCUGUUCUAGAUAGAUAUUUAAAUCACACUUCGUUGAACCCUGCCUUGUUGCGUUGAAUAUCUCUGAUUAUGUUCCCUAUUUCUGAUCUAUCUCUGUUGAGUUGUAUUUCUUAAUGACUGCUAAUUAGUCACCUUCAAUCUCCACUAUAUUUACCCAAAAUCUCCUUCCCAAAGCUGUUGUUUGAGAGCACGCAAGGGCUUCCGUCGCAAAUGGUGACGCUAUAUUACCAUGCAGUACUGUUCUAGAGGCCAAAAUAUCCCCUUUGGUGUUCCUAGCAACCAAGCCUGUCCCCGAUCUGUAUUCCUUAGAGUUAAAAGCAGCAUCGAAAUUAAUGCGCACAAAAGGAUCAAUCGAAGGUAUCCAUUAUGGAAUCGUGCAUUUCUUGGUAACCCACAUUGCGCAACAAAUUUUUCUGCACACUUCAUUCAAGCUAUUCUGGAAAAUCCAAGUAAGCCAAUCCUUGAUAUUUAACUAUGAUUGUGAUAAUACCCAUAAAAGAUUGAGCCUUGUCCACAUCUCUUUUGAAAUAGAACAGUCCCGAAGCACAUGAUCAACCGUUUCUAGACCCCCUCCAUAACUAGGACAAACAGUAUUUACUCCAAUUUUUCUAUUGUACAAAUUAAUUAGCGCAGGCAAGUAGUUCCAGAAAAUUCUCCAAAGUGUAAUUUUCUACUUUGUAUUUAGAUUCAAAUUCCAUAAUUUCCUGUAAAAAGCCUUCGUGGUAUUUUGAAGAUUUGUACUUUGUAAAUCCCGACUACUAUCAAAGAGAAAUUUAUAAGCACUUCUUACCAAAAA